UCCUCCAUGCUCCUCGAGCCUCACGUCCUUCCUUCCCCGCUCUCCACUCCCCCUGCUACCCCGUGCAGCGGCCGCCUCCCCAUCCCCGCUCUCUCCAUCACGCCAGAGCCGCCCCGCCCAGAGUCCUUCUUGUCCCCUUAGGAGCCCCCAUCCUUGCCCCGCGCAGGAAUUCAGUGGUAGGGGAGGAGCAGGUCGACGACGGUGAGGAUGAGAGAUCGAGGAGGGAGGGGUGACGCCGGCCAGCCACCGCCUCACCACCGGCUCGUGUGGCAGCGUUGGACAGCGGAAAGAAGGAACCGUCUCUCUGCUUCUUUCACUCUUCCCCGCAAGCGGCACCUCCUCACGUUCUCGAUGUACCAUGAUUCUGGAUCGGGCUCAGGAAUCAUGGUGGGUGUGGAGGAGUAGGGGAGGGUGGGAAGGGGAGAUGUUAGGAAGGAGCGUUCAGGUGAUGGUGGAAUGGAGUCGGCCUUCACUGCCUACCGUUGCUUUCCGGUCGUCGUGCCCCAUCCCCAAUCUUGGCUGCACAUCUAUCUUUCUCCUCUAUUUUUCUUGCCCCUUGAUUUCCACCUGGUUCUUUGAUAAUCUGAUUUUGAUUUCUCAAUUUAUAUUUUUUUCUAAAUAAGAUGUGUGCAAAUCCAAUGAAGAAGACAAGAGGAAGACUGAAGAACAAGCGAAUCUGGGCAGAGGUAGGGGAAAGUGAGGGUCAGAAGAGCAAGGUCUUGUCAAGAGAUAGAAAUAGAAUGCUUGGAGGUGUACCGCAGGAAGGUGGACGAUGCCAAUCAGACCAGGGUCCAGCUGCACCUGUCUGUGGCCACUUAAAGAAGCUAAGGUUGCAUUGUUAGUGGCAACUCUAGGGGAGCACAAGCUGUAUAUCAAGCCGCUUUCAGGACCGGGACGCCAUCAACACCCUCCUCGCCGACCUCCGCUCGAUGGCCUUCCGCGUGGCACCUCCGCUGCCGCCCCCUCCUCCGGUGUCCGAUUGAGCUUGCUACAUGUGGUGCUUUUUUGUGUUUUUUCAUUUGGGGCUUGUUAAGCUGUGCUCUCAGCAUUGAACCUUGUACUCGGAUUGGGGCGUGCCCCCUUGUGUGUGUGUGUGUGUGUGUUUAUUGUCUGAACUAUGUUGGAUGGUUGGCUCGAGCGAUUUACUUUAUAAUAUAAAGCGGAGCGGAAGUUUUUUUCGGUAA